UAGGGAAUCUUCCGCAAUGGACGCAAGUCUGACGGAGCAACGCCGCGUGAGUGAAGAAGGUUUUCGGAUCGUAAAGCUCUGUUGUUAAGGAAGAACGAGUGUGAGAAUGGAAAGUUCAUGCUGUGACGGUACUUAACCAGAAAGGGACGGCUAACUACGUGCCAGCAGCCGCGGUAAUACGUAGGUCCCGAGCGUUGUCCGGAUUUAUUGGGCGUAAAGCGAGCGCAGGCGGUUAGAAAAGUCUGAAGUGAAAGGCAGUGGCUCAACCAUUGUAGGCUUUGGAAACUGGUUAACUAGAGUGGAGAAGGGGAGAGUGGAAUUCCAUGUGGAGCGGAGAAAUGCGUAGAUAUAUGGAGGAACACCGGUGGCGAAAGCGGCUCUGUGGUCUGUAACUGACGCGGAGGCUAGAAAGCGUGGGGAGCGAACAGG
rnacentral:rRNA from 1 species